UACGGGGGGGGCAAGCGUUGUUCGGAAUUACUGGGCGUAAAGGGCUCGUAGGUGGCCAACUAAGUCAGACGUGAAAUCCCCAGGCUCAACCUGGGAACUGCGUCUGAUACUGGUUGGCUUGAAUCCGGGAGAGGGAUGCAGAAUUCCAGGUGUAGCGGUGAAAUGCGUAGAUAUCUGGAGGAAUACCGGUGGCGAAGGCGGCAUCCUGGACCGGCAUUGACGCUGAGGAGCGAAAGCCAGGGGAGCAAACGGG
rnacentral:rRNA from 1 species